rnacentral:rRNA from 1 species
AGUCACUGACAUUAGAUACCCCCCGUAGUCCCAGCCGUAAACGAUGCUCGCUAGGUGUCAGGCAUGGCGUGACUGUGUUUGGUGCCGAAGGGAAGCCGUGAAGCGAGCCACCUGGGAAGUACGGCCGCAAGGCUGAAACUUAAAGGAAUUGGCGGGGGGGCACCACAACGGGUGGAGCCUGCGGUUUAAUUGGACUCAACGCCGGGAAGCUCACCGGAUAGGACAGCAGAAUGAUUGCCGGGCUGAAGACCCUGCAUGACUAGCUG